rnacentral:tRNA from 1 species
GGAGCCGUUAGCCGAUGAGUGCCGGUGGGCUGUUGUUGGUGGCCCUCGGUAUCGCCAUCGGCAUGGUCGGCAUCGUGGUGCCGAUGGUUCCC